rnacentral:lncRNA from 1 species
AUUUUUUCGUCUGUAACAACUUGGUUGAGUGGCUCCGAACGAGAAUUGAGUCUAACAUGUUUCAUAUGUUCUUGGCUACUUGUUGGUGGCUUUGGAGGGAAAGGAACUAAUUUUGUAUGGAGAAUGAGAAUGUCUCUUUUUUGUCGUCUUAAGCUUCAUAUUUUCAAGUUUGCGAAGGCUUUACUAGACGAAUUUGCCUCUCGAGUGGUUGUAGUAGCGAAUAGCAGAUGUAUUCAUCUGCAUG